CGAGGGAGGCGGGCGCAUGGGCAUGUAAUAAUGACAAUGAGCGGGGCCCCUCAUUAGUUUAUUUAUUUUUCUUUUUAUUGGCUGAUCUUCCUUUGGGAUCAUAUACCCAACCUUAGAUUUGGGAUCUUCAGAAGAAUAUAUGGCUUUGAGAAUUGCCAACAAUGACAUCACCUGUCUCUUGGAAAAAAAAAAAAAAGAGAGAGAGAGAGUAAGUGUGACUUCUACACAUGGAGAAACCUCAAAAACAGCCAGCUGUAGGAGGAAGUUCAGGAUUUGUCAAACCUGUGGAAAGCCUGGGAAUUCCCAUGGGGAGAGGGAGGACAUCCUGCCAUGGAGGUAUGUGAUCCUCCAGCGUAAACAAGGUGGAGCUCCAGCUGGCAGCAUAGGGGCUGGCUUUUGGGUGUAAGACCCUGGGAUCUAUUUGCAGUUCCAAAGCCUAAGACAAGCCUUUGCCCUAGAAGUAAGGAUGCAGGACAACUGUCAAUUUUUGGAAUGAAAGUUGUCCCUAAUCUACACUGUUCCUCCGGUGGUCACAGUGAUGUUGGGUGGUGUGGUUCUGUACUUAGUGAUAAACAAUCUAGUUGUAUUAAUCUGCUUGGAAAGGUGGGUGUAGCAGAUGGAUAAUGAUUCCUGUUCUGCAAGCAUCCACGUCAUACACAGAUCAUAGAUUCAUUCCAUCAAUCUAGUUGAGACCACUCCAAUACCAGUAAUCCAAGAGGAACAGGUCACUCAUUCAGUCUGGUUGGCAUGCUGGAUCUGUGGCUAACAGUUUAGCUCUGAUAUGUAGCAGUUCUCUUUGGGCUUCAGCUUCAACGUUGUAUCAACUGACCACAUGCGGUGGUCUCCUCAUGGGGCCAUCAUCUAAAGCUGUUUAUUACGUUUUAUGUUAGAUCAUCAAUAUAAACCGGCAAUGGUUUUGCUGAACAUACAGCCUGAGGCUCAAUCUCUUUGAAGUUCUCCACUCCAAAGCAAAUUAUCAGUUGCUGCUGCAGCUUCAGUAAACCCUCCAACCUUCUCCCCAAAUAAUUUACAAGAAAGCCUGCAAUGGUAUAAAGCAUAAGAAGAGUCACAGGAUAGGACAGAGACACUGGGAAGGCAAUUAGAGUUAAUAUUCCUCUUCAGAAAUUAUCAGAGAAUGCAUCUGGAGCAAAGGAUCUAUGGCACAACACUGAAACAAAGAACGUUCUUUGUUAGCUGAAAUCUGCAUUGUUUCAUGCACUGGCACUUCCCAAACAGAAGAUGUAGGAGGUGGACUUCAUCAUACGGAAGAAUGUGUGGAAUCCCAGAAGAAGUCAUUCCAAGUGACAAAUGGAAAAUUGAGUGAGAUAUAAGACUGGCAAAUGACAAAGAAGAAAGCACGAGAAUACUUCACUUGUUUCAUAGUAGAAUAAAUUGCCGUUUUGGAUUUGAUUCUUAAUCUCACCUAAUGGCAGUCUUACUCUCAUCUAAAGGCAGAUUCUUACGCAUCUUAGAAUCCUAGGAUCAUAGAAUUGCUUGGGUUGGAAGGAACCUUAAGGAUCAUCCAAUUCCAACCCUCUGCCAUGGGCUGGUUGCCCCCACCAGAGCAGGCAGCCCAGGGCCCCA